GGAAAGGUUGCUUAUUCACAAUGAAAUACUCCCAUCCUCUGUGCCACCUCUGCCUUGGGUCCGUUUCUUAUGGGCGAUUAUGAACCAUGAGGCAAGAAGGUUAUUAAUGACAGACUCAUUUGGUAUCGUCAUAGAGCUCCAUUUCUCACUGACGCGCAGUUUCCAUUGCAUUAAAAAAAAAUUUUUUUUUCCCUACAGGAAUUUUGCUUUCCUUGUGCUCAACACCUUUGAAUUUUGCUCACGCAUCUGCUAAGCAGUGAGUAGAAGAUCUGUGCAUGUGUGCUUUGUUUGAGCGCUCCCGUGGCCUGAGAAAUUUGGCUCUCCUGCUGGUGUACAAACUGGUUCUGUAACGGGGAAGUUCAAUGCAUGAGCCCUUAUACAACAGAUGCAGCCUCACCAUCUUCGGUCCGCUAGCACACAAGAAAAUGAUGGCACAGGCAGUUAAUGCACUGUGCCCACCAGAUCUGCCUUGGAGAGGAUUCUAUUCUUCAAUCUCAGAAUCAGGCUGCUAUUUUCAAAGGCUGCUAGGCAGUGGCGUAAACGGCUAGAAGGGAAGAAAGCAAAACCAACCUUCUCCUCUUCAUUUCUUCUUAUUUAUCAGAGCUUACAAAUGCUGCCGUGGCUCUUUUUAAGUGUGGAAAUUCUCAUUUUUUUUUUCUGCAGCAUUUCAGCCUCACACAGAAUCCUUGGGGAUAUGGCAAGGAGCUAACCAACUGCACAUGGGAAAUGAGAUUGGGUCUUGGCUGGAAAAGCUGCAGCCUUGGCUAAUUUUCCACUGAGAG
ensembl:lncRNA